UCAGACUGCAGCCACGUAAACACUGAAUCUGCCUGCAAACGUCAGGAAAACUGGACGUAAGGUGAGGCUUGAAACACCACUGGCUUCAUUGAUGCCCACAGGCUGCGCAAACUCCCUUCACGGCCUUUGCAUCAAGACCAACUUAAAAAUGAAUGCCCCAGUGAACCCUUCCCCGACCUCUAAGAAGAACAGAAGAAGAGGAAGGAAGAAGAAGCUGGAGGACAGUCAAGCCCCAAGGCACCCUAGGCGUGUAGCAGCCCAGGGCCGGUGACGCGAAGCCCUCAGCCUGCCUGAGACUCUCCUGGCCACUUGGCAGUGGCCUCUGGUAUAAUUUUCUCCCAGUGACUUAUUUUCUCUGUUGUUAGUUUCCUGGGGCUGCCAUAACCAUGUGCCACAAACUGGGUGGCUUAGACCAGCAGUCCACAACCUUUUAAGCACCAGGGAGCAGUUUCAUGGAAGACAAUUUUUCCACAGACUGGGGGUGGGGAGAUGGUUUUGGGAUGAUUCAGGUGCCUUACAUUGAUUGUUCAUUUUAUUUCUACUAUGAUUACAUAACAUAUAUUAAAGAAUUAUAUUUUAUAUAUUA